rnacentral:rRNA from 1 species
UACGUAGGGUGCGAGCGUUAAUCGGAAUUACUGGGCGUAAAGCGUGCGCAGGCGGUUUUGUAAGCCAGAUGUGAAAUCCCCGGGCUUAACCUGGGAAUGGCAUUUGGGACUGCAAGGCUUGAGUGCGGCAGAGGAGACUAGAAUUCCUGGUGUAGCAGUGAAAUGCGUAGAUAUCGGGAGGAACACCAGUGGCGAAGGCGGUUACCUGGAGCUUUGCUGACGCUGAUGCGCGAAGGCCAGGGGAGCGAACGGG